rnacentral:rRNA from 1 species
UACGUAGGGCGCAAGCGUUGUCCGGAAUUAUUGGGCGUAAAGAGCUCGUAGGCGGUCUGUUACGUCCGCUGUGAAAACCCAGGGCUUAACCCUGGGCUUGCAGUGGAUACGGGUAGACUAGAGGCAGGUAGGGGAGAAUGGAAUUCCCGGUGUAGCGGUGAAAUGCGCAGAUAUCGGGAGGAACACCGGUGGCGAAGGCGGCUAUCUGGACAGAGUCUGACGCUGAGGCGCGAAAGCUAGGGGAGCAAACAGG